GAUCAUGGCUCAGGACGAACGCUGGCGGCGUGCCUAAUACAUGCAAGUAGAACGCUGAAGGAGGAGCUUGCUUCUCCGGAUGAGUUGCGAACGGGUGAGUAACGCGUAGGUAACCUGCCUGGUAGCGGGGGAUAACUAUUGGAAACGAUAGCUAAUACCGCAUAACAGUAGAUAUCGCAUGAUAUGUGCUUGAAAGGUGCAAUUGCAUCACUACCAGAUGG
rnacentral:rRNA from 1 species